rnacentral:lncRNA from 1 species
UAAAGAAAGAAAAAAAGAAUACUAUUGCAUGAGUUGCUACAGUGUUUUACGUAGUAGCUAUGAUAUAAAAAAUAACUAUAUUCUUGUUGCCUAUUAAUGGUUCCUCAGUCAGAGUUCCUAAAACCCUUUCCUGAGUGAUGAGAUUGAUAGAAACACCUUACCUAGAGCUCCUAAAUCCCUUAGAAAUUUCUACAUGAUGGGAAAGUACUUUAAUGAGAAAUACUUUAAUGAGAAGACUCUCACGGGGCUCCUGGGUAGCUUGAGGCUGGGUUCAGAUCUCCAGAAGGACCUUGCUGUGAUGAGAAGGUUGGAAUUUUUAGCUCUUCCUUCUCCUAUUCUCUAGGAAGAGGAGAAGGCCAGGAGAUUUGAGUUAGUAAUCAACUAUGCCUACAUGUUGAAGCCCCAUAAAAAUCCCAAACUACCGAAUUUAAAGAGCUUCUGGGCUGGUGAACACGUUCUUGUGGUGAAAGAGUGGUACAUCCUAACUCCAUGGAGAAAGAAGUUCCUAUGCUCUGAAUCUUUCCCUGGAAAACUCUUCAUGGAACUGUUCAUUUCUAUUCUUUAUAAAAUUCUUUUUAGCAAACUGGUAAAUGUAAGGAAAGUGUUUCCCUGAGUUCUGUGAGCCAUAAUAACAGAUGAUUGAACCUGAGGAGUGGGUUACUGUAAUUCCUCCAUUUGUAUUAAUGGAGGAAAAGUGUGAGUGCUCUUAGGCACCAGAACUUGAAAUCUAAAGUGAUAACAGUUGCAUGAGACUAG